rnacentral:rRNA from 1 species
ACAGCAGUCGCCACGGUAAUACAGAGGGUGCAAGCGUUACUCGGAAUUACUGGGCGUAAAGCGUGCGUAGGUGGUGGUUUAAGUCCGUUGUGAAAGCCCUGGGCUCAACCUGGGAAUUGCAGUGGAUACUGGGUCACUAGAGUGUGGUAGAGGAUAGUGGAAUUUCCGGUGUAGCAGUGAAAUGCGUAGAGAUCGGAAGGAACAUCUGUGGCGAAGGCGACUAUCUGGGCCAACACUGACACUGAGGCACGAAAGCGUGGGGAGCAAACAGGAUUAGAUACCCCUGUAGUCCCUGUCUUCUUAUA